AGAUCUACCUUUUGGCCUAUCUUAGCUUUCAACAUGCCUUGCUUGCUAAGCUUAGUCAUUUCUGGCCCUUGAUUUCAAGUGAGAGACAUGCAACUAUUCCCUUUCACUUGAACACUUGGAGGCUAUUGUAGGGUUCUUCAUUGGCCUAAUUUCAGUAUUGUGUUGCAUUUUUAUAAGGUUGAAGAAAAAUCAAAAGAAGAAUACUAUUUUGUGACAUGUGGAAAUUAAAUGAAAUUCAGAUUUCAUUGUCCACAUAUAAGGUUUUAUUGGAACACAACCACACUUAGUUGUUUACAAAUUGUCUCUGGCUGCUUUUGUGCUGGAAUGGCAAAGUUGAGGGGUUGUGACAGAAACCAUGUGGCAUUCUCAUUGCUUUUGCACUGCUGUUUCUGAACUGUAAUCACUGUUUUAAGUGCCAUGCAUAUCACAGUGCUGUGACAUUUUACUUUAUUAUCAAUGCAUACACAUCAUGUCAAAACAAGAAAAGAUGAAAAAAAUAGACUUGGAAUGUUAUAC
rnacentral:lncRNA from 1 species